rnacentral:lncRNA from 1 species
UCCUCCCAGGCGUUUGCACAGCAGGUGGCCGAGGACCAGGCCUCUCCCCUCUCCCCACCAGGGGCCAGAGGAGGGGGAACCACUCACACACACACAGCCAGCUCUCCGGGGACGGGGGGGCAGAACUAGUGGUUUCCAUGGGCUGACGACUCCCAGGCUGCACCCCAGGAAGUGGGGGGAGAAGGGAGGCGGGAAGAGAAGGCGGGUGGGUCCCAGGAGGAGGAGCUGUCACCGGGCUACUACUUCGUCCACUCUUCUUCCGCCGGGACACCUGCCGGUGGCCUCCUGGGCAACUCGGAAGCAGAUGACAGUAGGUGAAGGCUGCCCAGGCUCCUGAAUCUUCCAGGCAGCGCCCCUGGGGGUGAGGUGCCCGUGUGGCACGUGGAAGGGAGCCAGCGUCUUUGUCCCCAGACCUGUCAUCUUUGUGUCCGCUGGACUGGGAGUCGAGAGGCUCGGGGUCGGGCUGGGUCUGUCCACACUCCCAGCAGACGGCCA